AUAUCUCUCUGUACGGGAAGGAUGAGAAGCUUCUACCAGGGUUCGAUUCGAGCGCAGCGAGAAAGCGUUGCCGCAGGCAACGACCCGAAGGGCGAAGCGCGC
rnacentral:sRNA from 3 species